rnacentral:rRNA from 1 species
GACGAACCGUGCGAACGUUGUUCGGAAUUACUGGGCGUAAAGGGCUCGUAGGCGGCCAACUAAGUCGGAUGUGAAAUCCCCAGGCUUAACCUGGGAACUGCAUCCGAUACUGGAUGGCUUGAAUUCGGGAGAGGGAUGCAGAAUUCCAGGUGUAGCGGUGAAAUGCGUAGAUAUCUGGAGGAAUACCGGUGGCGAAGGCGGCAUCCUGGGACCGACAUUGACGCUGAGGAGCGAAAGCUAGGGGAGCAAACGGGG